rnacentral:misc_RNA from 1 species
UGUGUGUGUGUGUGUGUGUGUGAGUGUUUUAGCAUCAAAGAAUUUUUUGGGCCAUCAAUUAAACAAUGUCCUAUUUAGAACUAAUUCAUAAUCAUACAAUGUUUAAAUAUUUUGAAUUCCUGAGGCAAAUUCAUGAUAUCUAAUUGUGCACUGGAUUAAUCCUCACUUUUUCCAUGAGACUGAUGAAUGCUGUCUUAAUGAUCCUACAAUGGAGAAAAACACUUGCUAUCUCUUUGACACAAGGAAAAUUACAACAAAUAAGAUUCAACUUUUAAGAUUUCUGUUGAUUAGAAAUUUCAGAUGUUGUUUGAAAUGACAAGUAUAAAAAUUUUUAUAUUACUUUAAGACUGAUAUGUUAGGAGGUUCUGCUUGAUUACUUUGUUUAUGUUGUGAAUUUGAAUGUAGUAAUUUUUUUUUAAAAAUAGAAUCUUGCUUAAAAUCUCUCUUGUAGCGCCUAGUUUUGUAGCAUAUUGAGUAAUUUAUCAAUUAUAAAUAGCAAGAAAAGAUUGGUGGGAACGGUUAUUUUGUUAAGAAUAAUGAGUUGGCAAAUUUGUUAGAGACAGCUGUAUAGUUCUUUGUAUAAAAACAGUAGAAGAGUCUCGAAUAGAAGCAGUUACAAUUUCACAAUAUUUUCUCUCAUUCUCCUAUCCUUUCAUGGUAUUAGAGCACUUGUCCCGUGUAAAUGACGUUCUUGUUUUCUGCAUCUGCUACUUCUGGUGAUUGAAUUAGAAGAAGGUAUUGCUAUAAUACAUAUUUCUUCUUUGUAAUACUGUUCUUUGAUUGUUCUUGAAAAUGGAUGCCGGAGAUUCAAGCGAAACCAGAGUCUCGACAAAUCAAUCCACAGAUGAGAUUUUUCAUCUUCAAAACUCUGAUAAUCCAGGCUUGGUGCUAGUCAGUGCACCACUGACUGGAACAAACUACCUGGCAUGGAGUUGUUCAAUGAUGAUAGCACUUCGCGUGAAGAACAAAUUAGGAUUCAUUAAUGGCAGCACCGAAAAACCUGAGGAAGAUUCUCCUACAUUCGAUAAAUGGCAAAGAGCAGAUUCCAUGGUUUUUUCAUGGAUCUUGAACGCAAUUUCUAAGGAUUUAGUAGAAGCUUUUCUCUAUGUUACUACAGCCAAAGAACUAUGGGAAGAACUGAAACAGCGCUUCGGUGAGAGUAACGGGCCUCUGUUGUAUCAGAUCAAACGGGAAAUUAGUUCUUUCUCUCAAGAUAACAUGUCGGUAGGGGUAUAUUUCACAAAGCUCAAGAAGCUUUGGGACGAGCUAAGUUGCUUACGACCCUUUCCCGCGUGUACUUGUGGUGCAGCAAAGACUAUGAUAGAUAUUGAGAACGGUGAUAAGGUGAUACAAUUUCUGAUGGGUCUCCGGGAUGGUUAUGAUCAUGUUCGAAACCAGGUGCUGCUUAUGGAUCCACUGCCAAAAAUUAAUAAAGCCUAUUCUAUGGUCUUGAGUGUGGAGAAACAGAGGGAGAUAUAUGGAUGGAUAACUGAAUCAAGUGAAAAUGUUGUGUUAAUGGCUAAAAACACAUUUACAAGGAAAGAUCUAAUGCCAAACAAGUCACAGAAAAAAGGAGAUUUGGGAAAGAAAGAAGAUCGGUACUGCAGCUAUUGCAAUAAGUCCGGACAUCUCAAGGAGACGUGCUUCAAGUUGCACGGAUAUCCUGAAUGGUUUCACGAGCUUAAGCAGAAGAAGAUGAAUAAGCCACAAGCAUACAUGACCACUCAAAUGCAGGAUACACCUUUUGAUGGUGAUUUCUUAACUGAUGUACCCAAAAGAAGUGAGAAUUGGGCCAAUUCUGUUGAGUUUACCACGGCUGUACAGCAAGAGGUAGCAAGAUACAUGAAAGGGAAAAUGAGUACCGAUGAUAACUGUGCCAAUUACGCUGGUUUUGCAGGUAUGGCUAAUAACUUUUCUUUACUUAGCACUGAAAAUGACUGGAAAGGUACAUGGAUCAUUGAUACGGAUGCCUCAUCUCAUAUGACUUUUAAUCCUUUAUUCCUUGAUUCAUUUCAAACUCUUCCCAAACCUACAUUUGUAAGUUUACCCGAUGGUUCAAAGAAAGAAACCUGUCAAAUAGGCACUGUCACAGUAACACCCAAACUAAUUCUCAAAGACACUUUAUGCAUCCCAACAUUUAAACACAACCUUUUGUCUGUCAGUAAACUAGUUGCAACUUCUAAUAUCAUUGCCAUUUUUUACCCAGACCACUGUGUUUUGCAGGACCAGUUGACUAAGGAAGUGGUGGCAACUGGGAGAAUGGCAGGAGGAAUGUAUAGAUUGGAUAAUAGUUUUUUGUCUUCAUUUGUUUGUGAUCCUUCAACUGUAAUAGACAUUCAUGACAAUGUUUCGAAUAAAUGUAACCAAUCUAAUACCUCUUGUCAACAAAUAAAUAAAGGAUUUUCUAUUCAUGAUACUUAAUGGCAUUUUCGUUUGGGGCAUACAUCUCACACUACUCUCAGUCAUAUUCCAUCUAUAACUUUUAGUCCCAUUAUUGCUGAUUGCAACGUGUGUCAUUUGUCUAAACAACGGCGUCUACCUUUUCCAACCAGUCAAACAUAUUCAUCCAAACCAUUUCAACUCAUUCAUAUAGAUCUUUGGGGACCAUAUAAAGUGCAUUCUAUCACUGGUGCACGAUAUAUGUUAACAUUGGUUGAUGAUUUUAGUCGUGCCACUUGGACUUUCUUUUACAAGAUAAAACACAAGCACCUCAUACCAUUUCCAUGUUUCUCAACUCCAUCACAACACAGUAUCAUACCUCAGUCCAGGUCAUUCGCAGUGAUAAUGGUAGUGAGUUUCUUAAUGUUAAUUGUUCACAAUUGUUUCAUGAUAAAGGCAUCAUUCACCAACGUUCAUUUGCCUACUCUCCACAGCAAAAUGGUGUCGUGGAGCGAAAGCAUAAAUAUCUAUUACAGAUUGCUUGGUCACUCAUGUUUCAAUUACAUAUUCCUAAACAAUUUUGGAGUGAAUCCUUACUCACUGCCACAUACAUCAUAAAUCGUUCACCAACAAGAUUCUUGAAGUGGAAAUCCCCUUAGGAGGUCCUCAAUGGUAAGCCACCUGAUUAUAAUGUCAUGAAAGCCUUCGGGUGUCUCUGUUAUGCGUCUAAUGUUCAUCCAAACAAAGAUAAAUUUUCCCCGCGAGCUUUUCGCUGUAUUUUUCUUCGUUACCCUGUAGGGCAAAAGGCUUACAAACUCUAUAACUUGGACACAAAAUCCUUUUGUAUUUCUCGUGAUGUCCUUUUCCAUGAACACGUCUUUCGUUUCUUUGGGUCACCUGCUGUCUCUUCUUCAUCAAUUAGUAUUCCUAACCCCAUCCUUGAGCCAAGUGAGUCUACAAUUCUUUCCUUUGUCUCAACAGAUGUCCCCACUCAAGAAGUUGUUCCUACGUCCCCUGUUGUUGUCAA